UACGGGGGGGAGCAAGCGUUGUUCGGAUUUACUGGGCGUAAAGGGCGCGUAGGCGGUCAGCACAAGUCAAUUGUGAAAUCUCCGAGCUUAACUCGGAAAGGUCAACUGAAACUGUGCGACUAGAGUGCGGAAGGGGCAACUGGAAUUCUUGGUGUAGCGGUGAAAUGCGUAGAUAUCAAGAGGAACACCUGCGGCGAAGGCGGGUUGCUGGGCCGACACUGACGCUGAAGCGCGAAAGCCAGGGGGAGCGAACGGGG
rnacentral:rRNA from 1 species